CCUACGGGGGGCAGCAGUAGGGAAUUUUCGUCAAUGGGCGCAAGCCUGAACGAGCACUGCCGCGUGAACGAGGAAGGUCUUCGGAUCGUAAAGUUCUGUUGAAGGGGAAAAAGAGUGGUGAGAGGAAAUGAACUCCGAUUGAUAUUACCCUUCGAGGAAGUCACGGCUCACUACGUGCCCGCAGCCGCGGUAAUACGUAGGUGGCGAGCGUUAUCCGGAAUGAUUGGGCGUAUAGGUUGCGUAGGCGGCCUGCUAAGUAUGGAGUGAAAGGUCCCGGCUCAACGGGUACAGGUUCUGGGAACUGGCGUGCUAGGGAGGAGGAGAGGGAGGUGGAACUGCAUGUGUAGCGGUAGAAUGCG
rnacentral:rRNA from 1 species